GUCUUCCAAAGCGGACGUUAACAGAACGAUGAAGUGUUCCACGUUGGGUCAUUCAUGACAGCACUUUUACAGUGGCUUCCUCUCCAAGUGUCACGGGUGGUCAAAAGAAGAGAUUGACAGUUUCAGAAGGGGCUCAUGAUCUAUGCAGGGAAGCCUGUGCCCAAGAGAACUGUGGAAGCCCACACGGAGUUGAUGAACCACAGCAGGGGUUCACAAAGAGCCCCUGGGUGCACAGCACUAUGCCUUGGAGAACAGUUUCUUUGGCAGAGCUUCAUCAUCAGUACCAUCACUUUUCUUGUGCUUUGUCGAUAUUUGGAUGGGUGGUCCUGGACCCAGAGAGUUAAGGCAACUUACCCAAGGUCACAAUAGCUUACAUCUCCAAAUGCUCAGCUCUGUGCUAUGGAACCCACUGCUUUCUAAUAGAUUUAAAUGAUAUGAACACCAGUGUGAAGACAGCAAAAAGACGGCCACCUAAGAACAUGGAAACAGGUCCUCA